GACGAACGCUGGCGGCGUGCCUAAUACAUGCAAGUUGAGCGAUGAAGAUUGGUGCUUGCACCAAUUUGAAGAGCAGCGAACGGGUGAGUAACGCGUGGGGAAUCUGCCUUUGAGCGGGGGACAACAUUUGGAAACGAAUGCUAAUACCGCAUAGCAACUUUAAACAUAAGUUUUAAGUUUGAAAGAUGCAAUUGCAUCACUCAAAGAUGAUCCCGCGUUGUAUUAGCUAGUUGGUGAGGUAAAGGCUCACCAAGGCGAUGAUACAUAGCCGACCUGAGAGGGUGAUAGGCCACAGUGGGACUGAGACACGGCCCAAACUCCUACGGGAGGAAGCAGUAGGGAAGCUUCGGCAAGGGACGAAAGUCGGACCGAGCAACGCCGCGUGAGUGAAGAAGGUUGUCGGAUCGUAAAAAUCGGUUGGUAGAGAAGAACGUUGGUGAGAGUGGAAAGCUCAUAAAGUGACGGUAACUACACAGAAAGGGACGGCUAACUACGUG
rnacentral:rRNA from 1 species